GUAGGCUAAGUGGUCUUAAAUCCACUAUCCUGACUAUUAAGGAUUACAGGAAAUACAGUAUCUUGCCCUCUUAUCAGCCAGGUCCACUGGGUCACCAAGCACCUCGGGUUUAAAUACCAUGCCACCCUACGCUAAAAAAAAAGGACAAGUGGGAGUCUUCUGGGCUACUGCAAUAAAAAUAAAUAUUUCUACCUAUCUCCAUUAGCCAUACCACUUUUCCUUAUACUCACUGC